CCUCGACGGCAGACGCCCAGAGAAGAGACGAAAAAAAUUGCGCAGCGUCUGCCCGUCUGCCACUGGGUUUUGAUAUUCGACGGGCCAAAAAAAUAUCUGUGCGGGGGCUCGUGUCCCCAGGAUACCUUGUGCGCGUGUUCGCCGGUGUGUGUGAUUUUUUUCUUGGGCGAAGGUGUAGUCAUGUCCAGUUCGGGCGAUUUCGGCAACCCUCUGCGAAAGUUCAAGCUUGUGUUCCUGGGAGAACAGAGCGUUGGGAAAACUUCCCUCAUUACACGUUUCAUGUAUGACAGCUUUGAUAACACAUACCAGGCCACAAUAGGCAUAGACUUUUUGUCCAAGACCAUGUACCUAGAAGACCGCACAGUUCGUCUACAGCUGUGGGACACAGCAGGCCAGGAGAGAUUUAGGAGCCUCAUUCCAAGUUACAUCAGAGAUUCUACAGUCGCUGUAGUUGUUUACGACAUAACCAAUGCCAACUCAUUUCAUCAAACAUCCAAGUGGAUAGAUGAUGUGCGGACGGAAAGGGGGAAUGACGUUAUAAUCAUGCUUGUUGGCAACAAAACUGACCUUUCUGACAAGAGGCAGGUGACGACAGAGGAGGGCGAGAGGAAGGCAAAAGAGCUCAAUGUUAUGUUCAUAGAAACCAGUGCAAAGUCUGGCUACAAUGUCAAGCAGCUCUUCAGACGUGUGGCAGCUGCCCUACCAGGAAUGGAGAACACGGAGCGAACGAAAGAAGACACUGUUCCGCUGAAGCCCCAAGAACCGCCAAAGGUGAUGAAGGAUGAAGAAGGCAGCUGCAUCUGCUAGAAAAUGAGACAUAGGCUUUGUCCAAGAAGCUGCAGCCGUUGCUUUAUUUCCACACCCUGUCGCUCCCCACCGCUGCCAUAGCUGCUGCUGCUACUGCUGCUGCACGUGCAGACAGAGCUUUUUAUGUUCCUUAGGAAAUCGAGCUUGCAGCAGAGGUGCACGAUUCAGGGUUGGCCGUAACACUGCACUGGGCAGCUCAAUUGGAAAGCCUCUGCAAUAAUGACCCAAGAUGUCGAUGCCAUAGCUGUUAAAAGCUAUCUACUGAAGGCAGCAGCUGUUUGAUGAAAUAACCUUUCCUUAGUCAAACAGAAACACUGAAACGAAUAUUAAUUUUUACCCUAAAUGCAGCCCAACGGGUUAAUUACACCUCAAAAAGAUUGAUUUCACUCUCUUUAGGAGUGUAUGAUAUGCUAUGGAACACAAAAAGCAUCUUGUGCAAUUCCUGUUGGUAGAGUACCAAGCACAUUAAGAAGAAAUGGACAUGGGAAUGAGUCAUGCGCAAUAAAAUUGUACCCUAGCAAGUGUUGAAUUAUUCAGUGGAUUUAGCAUAAAUUCUUUAAUGGUGCUAUUUCCAACAUAGGUUAAUCAUUUCCUUGCAGCAGACGGUCAAUGAAGAGUGCUAAAGUCUACUUCAGCCCCUUGUGUUUGGGCUUUUUUUGUCAAGCAUAUUAUUUAUUUCGAUGUUAUCAACUUAUUUACCUUUCUAUGCUUUCUACUCAUAUGCGCUAAGUAUGUCCGAGAACAAGGGACUCAUUUUACCAUGAGGAGCCACAGCUCUGUACAUGCACAAGAAUGACAGUGAAUGGUGCAAGGCUACUUAUUAUGGUUUGGAGGAGUUCUGUCCAACAAGAAUUUCUUUUUUCAAAUAAAUGUGGCCAUGAAGGCUUUGCAGAGCAAUUGGCUACCAUUGCA
rnacentral:misc_RNA from 1 species